GACGAACGCUGGCGGCGUGCUUAACACAUGCAAGUCGAACGGAAAGGCCCUGCUUUUGUGGGGUGCUCGAGUGGCGAACGGGUGAGUAACACGUGAGUAACCUGCCCUUGACUUUGGGAUAACUUCAGGAAACUGGGGCUAAUACCGGAUAGGAGCUCCUGCUGCAUGGUGGGGGUUGGAAAGUUUCGGCGGUUGGGGAUGGACUCGCGGCUUAUCAGCUUGUUGGUGGGGUAGUGGCUUACCAAGGCUUUGACGGGUAGCCGGCCUGAGAGGGUGACCGGCCACAUUGGGACUGAGAUACGGCCCAGACUCCUCCGGGAGGCAGCAGUGGGGAAUAGUGCACAAUGGGCGGAAGCCUGAUGCAGCAACGCCGCGUGCGGGAUGACGGCCUUCGGGUUGUAAACCGCUUUCGCCUGUGACGAAGCGUGAGUGACGGUAAUGGGUAAAGAAGCACCGGCUAACUACGUG
rnacentral:rRNA from 1 species